GUUAAGUUGCAGGGUAUAGACCCGAAACCCGGUGAUCUAGCCAUGGGCAGGUUGAAGGUUGGGUAACACUAACUGGAGGACCGAACCGACUAAUGUUGAAAAAUUAGCGGAUGACCUGUGGCUGGGGGUGAAAGGCCAAUCAAACCGGGAGAUAGCUGGUUCUCCCCGAAAGCUAUUUAGGUAGCGCCUCGUGAAUUCAUCUCCGGGGGUAGAGCACUGUUUCGGCUAGGGGGCCAUCCCGGCUUACCAACCCGAUGCAAACUGCGAAUACCGGAGAAUGUUAUCACGGGAGACACACGGCGGGUGCUAACGUCCGUCGUGAAGAGGGAAACAACCCAGACCGCCAGCUAAGGUCCCAAAGUCAUGGUUAAGUGGGAAACGAUGUGGGAAGGCCCAGACAGCCAGGAUGUUGGCUUAGAAGCAGCCAUCAUUUAAAGAAAGCGUAAUAGCUCACUGGUCGAGUCGGCCUGCGCGGAAGAUGUAACGGGGCUAAACCAUGCACCGAAGCUGCGGCAGCGACGCUGAUGCGUUGUUGGGUAGGGGAGCGUUCUGUAAGCCUGUGAAGGUGGCCUGUGAGGGUUGCUGGAGGUAUCAGAAGUGCGAAUGCUGACAUAAGUAACGAUAAAGCGGGUGAAAAGCCCGCUCGCCGGAAGACCAAGGGUUCCUGUCCAACGUUAAUCGGGGCAGGGUGAGUCGACCCCUAAGGCGAGGCCGAAAGGCGUAGUCGAUGGGAAACGGGUUAAUAUUCCCGUACUUGGUGUUACUGCGAAGGGGGGACGGAGAAGGCUAUGUUGGCCGGGCGACGGUUGUCCCGGUUUAAGCGUGUAGGUGUGUGUUCCAGGUAAAUCCGGUUCACUUUAACACUGAGGCGUGACGACGAGGCACUACGGUGCUGAAGCAACAAAUGCCCUGCUUCCAGGAAAAGCCUCUAAGCAUCAGGUAACAUCAAAUCGUACCCCAAACCGACACAGGUGGUCAGGUAGAGAAUACCAAGGCGCUUGAGAGAACUCGGGUGAAGGAACUAGGCAAAAUGGUGCCGUAACUUCGGGAGAAGGCACGCUGACACGUAGGUGAAGUGAUUUACUCAUGGAGCUGAAGUCAGUCGAAGAUACCAGCUGGCUGCAACUGUUUAUUAAAAACACAGCACUGUGCAAACACGAAAGUGGACGUAUACGGUGUGACGCCUGCCCGGUGCCGGAAGGUUAAUUGAUGGGGUCAGCGCAAGCGAAGCUCCUGAUCGAAGCCCCGGUAAACGGCGGCCGUAACUAUAACGGUCCUAAGGUAGCGAAAUUCCUUGUCGGGUAAGUUCCGACCUGCACGAAUGGCGUAAUGAUGGCCAGGCUGUCUCCACCCGAGACUCAGUGAAAUUGAACUCGCUGUGAAGAUGCAGUGUACCCGCGGCAAGACGGAAAGACCCCGUGAACCUUUACUAUAGCUUGACACUGAACAUUGAGCCUUGAUGUGUAGGAUAGGUGGGAGGCUUUGAAGUGUGGACGCCAGUCUGCAUGGAGCCGACCUUGAAAUACCACCCUUUAAUGUUUGAUGUUCUAACGUGGACCCGUUA
rnacentral:rRNA from 1 species